rnacentral:pre_miRNA from 1 species
ACUGUAUAUGAUAAGACAGAUGAUAAUGCUCGACUGUGUGAAAUAGUAAGUUAUAACCUAUUAAAACACAUACUAUUCGUACAUUAGCUGAGAUGGAUAUCUGUUUCAUAUAUGAC